UGGACAAGGCUGUGCUCUGAGUGCU
rnacentral:piRNA from 1 species